AACUAACGCUGGCGGCAGGCCUAACACAUGCAAGUCGAACGGAUCCUUCGGGAUUAGUGGCAGACGGGUGAGUAACGCGUGGGAAGCUACCUUGUGGUAGGGAACAACAGUUGGAAACGACUGCUAAUACCCUAUGAGCCCUAUGGGGGAAAGAUUUAUCGCCAUGAGAUGUGCCCGCGUUAGAUUAGCUAGUUGGUAAGGUAAUGGCUUACCAAGGCGACGAUCUAUAGCUGGUCUGAGAGGAUGAUCAGCCACACUGGGACUGAGACACGGCCCAGACUCCUACGGGAGGCAGCAGUGGGGAAUAUUGGACAAUGGGGGCAACCCUGAUCCAGCCAUGCCGCGUGAGUGAUGACGGCCUUAGGGUUGUAAAGCUCUUUCAGCAGUGAAGAUAAUGACAUUAACUGCAGAAGAAGCCCCGGCUAACUUCGUGCCAGCAGCCGCGGUAAUACGAAGGGGGCUAGCGUUGUUCGGAAUCACUGGGCGUAAAGCGUACGUAGGCGGACUGAUCAGUCAGGGGUGAAAUCCCGGGGCUCAACCCCGGAACUGCCUUUGAUACUGUCAGUCUUGAGAUCGAGAGAGGUGAGUGGAACUCCGAGUGUAGAGGUGAAAUUCGUAGAUAUUCGGAAGAACACCAGUGGCGAAGGCGGCUCACUGGCUCGAUACUGA
rnacentral:rRNA from 1 species